rnacentral:rRNA from 1 species
UACGUAGGGUGCGAGCGUUGUCCGGAAUUAUUGGGCGUAAAGAGCUCGUAGGCGGCUUGUUGCGUCGGAUGUGAAAGCCCGGGGCUCAACCCCGGAGGGUCAGCCGAUACUGGCGAGCUAGAGUACGGAAGAGGUAGCUGGAAUUCCCGGUGUAGCGGUGAAAUGCGUAGAUAUCGUAAGGAAGACCAGUGGCGAAGGCGGGUCUCUGGACAGUUCCUGACGCUGAGGCACGAAGGUCAGGGGAGCAAACGGG